rnacentral:tRNA from 1 species
CUCAAAGCAGCCUUACUUAGGCUUUCAGAAAAGGCACUCUUGUUUUUGUAAAGUGGUGUGUUUUUAUGAGAUGAUGCCGGGGAAGGUUUUCCGGUUUAUCCCGGAGGGCUUGUAGCUCAAUUGGUUAGAGCGCGCGCUUGAUAAGCGUGAGGUCGGAGGUUCAAGUCCUCCCAGGCCCACCAAUUAUUCUAUCCAUAUUUUGCUUAAGUGCUUAUAGCAUUUUUAAAAAGGGUUGUGGCGCUUAUCUAUUUUGCUUAAGUGCUCCAAAGUUAAAGCAGCUCAAACGUAAAGCGAUGCAAAUUUUGCUAUAAAUUUUGCACUGUCUCUUUAUAACAGUUAGCGCAUAUUUAACAGUUUGAAAUCCUUAUAUCCUGUUUUAGGGGCCGUAGCUCAGCUGGGAGAGCACCUGCUUUGCAAGCAGGGGGUCGUCGGUUCCAUCCCGUCCGGCUCCCCAUUUGGUCAUCAUCAUUGUUGUGAAAACAUUCUUUGUAAAAGG